GACGAACGCUGGCGGCGUGCCUAAUACAUGCAAGUAGAACGCUGAAGGAGGAGCUUGCUUCUCUGGAUGAGUUGCGAACGGGUGAGUAACGCGUAGGUAACCUGCCUGGUAGUGGGGGAUAACUAAUGGAAACGAUAGCUAAUACCGCAUAAUAGCAGUUGUUGCAUGAUAACUGUUUGAAAGGUGCAAUUGCACCGCUACCAGAUGGACCUGCGUUGUAUUAGCUAGUUGGUGGGGUAACGGCUCACCAAGGCGACGAUACAUAGCCGACCUGAGAGGGUGAUCGGCCACACUGGGACUGAGACACGGCCCAGACUCCUACGGGAGGCAGCAGUAGGGAAUCUUCGGCAAUGGACGGAAGUCUGACCGAGCAACGCCGCGUGAGUGAAGAAGGUUUUCGGAUCGUAAAGCUCUGUUGUAAGAGAAGAACGAGUGUGAGAGUGGAAAGUUCACAAUGUGACGGUAUCUUACCAGAAAGGGACGGCUAACUACGUG
rnacentral:rRNA from 1 species